AGAGUUUGAUCCUGGCUCAGGAUGAACGCUGGCGGCGUGCUUAACACAUGCAAGUCGAGCGAAGCACUUAUGAAAGAUUCUUCGGAUGAUUUCAUUUGUGACUGAGCGGCGGACGGGUGAGUAACGCGUGGGUAACCUGCCUCAUACAGGGGGAUAACAGUUGGAAACGACUGCUAAUACCGCAUAAGCGCACAGUACCGCAUGGUACAGUGUGAAAAACUCCGGUGGUAUGAGAUGGACCCGCGUCUGAUUAGCUAGUUGGUGGGGUAACGGCCUACCAAGGCGACGAUCAGUAGCCGACCUGAGAGGGUGACCGGCCACAUUGGGACUGAGACACGGCCCAAACUCCUACGGGAGGCAGCAGUGGGGAAUAUUGCACAAUGGGGGAAACCCUGAUGCAGCAACGCCGCGUGAGUGAAGAAGUAUUUCGGUAUGUAAAGCUCUAUCAGCAGGGAAGAAAAUGACGGUACCUGACUAAGAAGCCCCGGCUAACUACAUGCCAGCAGCCGCGGUAAUACGUAGGGGGCAAGCGUUAUCCGGAUUUACUGGGUGUAAAGGGAGCGUAGACGGCGAGACAAGUCUGAAGUGAAAGCCCGGGGCUCAACCCCGGGACUGCUUUGGAAACUGCCUUGCUAGAGUGCUGGAGAGGUAAGUGGAAUUCCUAGUGUAGCGGUGAAAUGCGUAGAUAUUAGGAGGAACACCAGUGGCGAAGGCGGCUUACUGGACAGUAACUGACGUUGAGGCUCGAAAGCGUGGGGAGCAAACAGGAUUAGAUACCCUGGUAGUCCGCACGGUAAACGAUGGAUGCCCGCUGUUGGUCUGAAUAGGUCAGCGGCCAAGCGAAAGCAUUAAGCAUCCCACCUGGGGAGUACGCCGGCAACGGUGAAACUCAAAGGAAUUGACGGGGGCCCGCACAAGCGGAGGAACAUGUGGUUUAAUUCGAUGAUACGCGAGGAACUUUACCCGGGCUUGAAUUGCAGAGGAAGGAUUUGGAGACAAUGACGCCCUUCGGGGCCUCUGUGAAGGUGCUGCAUGGUUGUCGUCAGCUCGUGCCGUGAGGUGUCGGCUUAAGUGCCAUAACGAGCGCAACCCCUCUCCUUAGUUGCCAUCAGGUUAAGCUGGGCACUCUGGGGACACUGCCACCGUAAGGUGUGAGGAAGGUAGGGAUGACGUCAAAUCAGCACGGCCCUUACGGCCGGGGCUACACACGUGUUACAAUGGCAGGUACAGAGAGACGGUCCCUUGCAAAACGGAUCAAAUCCUUAAAGCCUGUCUCAGUUCGGACUGGGGUCUGCAACCCGACCCCACGAAGCUGGAUUCGCUAGUAAUCGCGCAUCAGCCAUGGCGCGGUGAAUACGUUCCCGGGCCUUGUACACACCGCCCGUCAAGCCAUGAAAGCCGGGGGCGCCUAAAGUCCGUGACCGUAAGGAGCGGCCUAGGGCGAAACUGGUAAUUGGGGCUAAGUCGUAACAAGGUA
rnacentral:rRNA from 1 species